GUAAGUUAAAGUUUACAAUUUUUAUUAAUUUAUUUAAUAAUAAAUAGGUGAAUUAACAUUAAUGUAUUGAUGUUUAAUGAAUUAUUAAUAAUUAAAUUAUUUUUGUUAUAGUUUAUAUGUACUGUUAAGGAAUAUUUAAAUAUUUGAAAAUUAAUUUUUGUUAUAGAAAAUUUUAACUGUUGUACCUUUUGUAUCAGGGGUUAUUAAAUAAUAAUAUACUAUUUAUAUUUUCCCGAAAUAAGGAGAGUUAAGAUAAACAUGUUAUUAUAAGUUUUAUAUUGUAAUUAGAAUGUUUUCUUAGAGGUGAAAUGUUAUUCGGUUCUUAUAAUAUCUGGUUACAUAAUAAUUAAAUUUAAUUUAGCAGUCAUUUAGGUAAGUUGUCUUAAAAUGGUUAGAUAUAUGGUUUAUUAUAUGACUAGUAAGGGUUAGGGGGAUUUGCUUUUAACUCUGUUGUUACCUAUAAUUGAUUAUUAUAAGUAUUAUUAUUGUUGGCUUAGAAAUAGCAAUCAUUUGUAAUUUUGUUAUAAUUUAUUUAAUUAUAUAUAAUAUUUGUUUAUUUUGUUUAGGUUAGUUGAUUAUGUUGUUGUUAAUAUUUUUUUUUGUUAGCAAAUAUGAUAAUAUUAGUAUAUUAUAGAGGUUAAUUAAAGGAAUUCGGCAAAGUUUUAUUUCCGCCUGUUUAUCAAAAACAUGUCCUUUUGUUUAUAUAUAAGGUCUAACCUGCCCAAUGAAUAUUUUGAAUGGCCGCGGUAUUCUGACCGUGCGAAGGUAGCAUAAUCAUUAGUCUUUUAAUUGUUGGCUUGUAUGAAUGGUUGGACGAGAAAUGAGCUGUCUCUAGUUAAUAUAGUUAAAUUUUACUUUUGAGUGAAAAGGCUUAAAUUUAUAGGAGGGACGAUAAGACCCUGUAGAUCUUUAUAUUAAAGGGGUAAUAUAAUUUUAGCUUAUAAUUAUUUUAUGUUAUGUUUUUAAUAUUUUGCUGGGGCGGUGAGAAAAUAUCAUAAACUUUUCUUGGUUUAUUUCACUUAUAAGUGUGAUUAUUAGUGAUCCAUUCUUUGUGAUUAUAAGAUUAAGUUACCUCAGGGAUAACAGCGUAAUCUCUUUUGAGAGUUCAUAUCGACAAAGGGGGUUGCGACCUCGAUGUUGGAUUAAGAUUUUACUUGGGCGUAGGGGCUUAAGGUAAAAGGUCUGUUCGACCUUUAAAUUCUUACAUGAUCUGAGUUCAGAUCGGCGUGAGCCAGAUCGGUUUCUAUCUUCCUAUUAUAUGAAUAUCUUAGUACGAAAGGACCAGGUAUAUGUAAUAUUUAUUUGUUAAGUGAAUAAUAAUAAAUUU
rnacentral:rRNA from 1 species